rnacentral:rRNA from 1 species
CAAUGUGCGAAAGCACGACAAGGUUAAUCCGAGUGGUUUCUGCUAAAGGAACCUUUUGUUAGUCCUAGAAACACUAACGAAUAAGGGGUGGGCAAGUUCUGGUGUCAGCCGCCGCGGUAAAACCAGCACCUCAAGUGGUCAGGAUGAUUAUUGGGCCUAAAGCAUCCGUAGCCGGCUCUGUAAGUUUUCGGUUAAAUCUGUACGCUCAACGUACAGGCUGCCGGGAAUACUGCAGAGCUAGGGAGUGGGAGAGGUAGACGGUACUCGGUAGGAAGGGGUAAAAUCCUUUGAUCUAUUGAUGACCACCUGUGGCGAAGGCGGUCUACCAGAACACGUCCGACGGUGAGGGAUGAAAGCUGGGGGAGCAAACCGGAUUAGAUACCCGGGUAGUCCCAGCUGUAAACUAUGCAAACUCAGUGAUGCAUUGGCUUGUGGCCAAUGCAGUGCUGCAGGGAAGCCGUUAAGUUUGCCGCCUGGGAAGUACGUACGCAAGUAUGAAACUUAAAGGAAUUGGCGGGGGAGCACCACAAGGGGUGAAGCCUGCGGUUCAAUUGGAGUCAACGCCAGAAAUCUUACCCGGAGAGACAGCAGAAUGAAGGUCAAGCUGAAGACUUUACCAGACAAGCUGAGAGGUGGUGCAUGGCCGUCGCCAGCUCGUGCCGUGAGAUGUCCUGUUAAGUCAGGUAACGAGCGAGAUCCCUGCCUCUAGUUGCCACCAUUACUCUCAGGAGUAGUGGGGCGAAUUAGCGGGACCGCCGCAGUUAAUGCGGAGGAAGGAAGGGGCCACGGCAGGUCAGUAUGCCCCGAAACUCUGGGGCCACACGCGGGCUGCAAUGGUAAUGACAAUGGGUUCCAAAUCCGAAAGGAGGAGGUAAUCCUCAAACAUUACCACAGUUAUGACUGAGGGCUGCAACUCGCCCUCACGAAUAUGGAAUCCCUAGUAACUGCGUGUCAUUAUCGCGCGGUGAAUACGUCCCUGCUCCUUGCACACACCGCCCGUCGUUUCAUUGAAGUGAGCUUUUAGCGAGGUGACGUCUGAUUGGCGUUAUCGAACUUGAGGUUCGUGACAAGGGAAAAGUGGGUAACAAGGUAAC